GGUUAAGCAAACAAAGCGUACACGGUGGAUGCCUAGGCAAUCAGAGGCGAUGAAGGACGUGCUAAUCUGCGAAAAGCGUCGGUAAGCUGAUAUGAAGCGUAAUAACCGGCGAUGUCCGAAUGGGGAAACCCAAUGCAUGUUAUGCAUUAUCGUUUGAUGAAUUCAUAGUCAAACGAAGCGAACCGAGGGAACUGAAACAUCUCAGUACCUCGAGGAAAAGAAAUCAACCGAGAUUCCCCUAGUAGUGGCGAGCGAACGGGGAGGAGCCCAGAGUCAGAAUCUAUAUUAGCAUCAGGAGAAAAGUCUGGAAAGGCCUGCAAUAAAGGGUGAUAGCCCCGUAUCCGAAGGUGUUAAUAUCGUGAACUCGAAGAGUAGGACGGGACACGUGUUAUCCUGUCUGAAGAUGGGGGGACCAUCCUCCAAGGCUAAAUACUCCUGAAUGACCGAUAGUGAACCAGUACCGUGAGGGAAAGGCGAAAAGAACCCCGGUGAGGGGAGUGAAAAGAACCUGAAUCCGUGUACGUACAAGCAGUGGGAGCCCCAUCACUCAAGUGCCCUGUAAUCAGAAGGGGUUAUCUGUUAUGUAGAAUAAUAGAAUAGGAUUUACCAUUGUCUAUUAGGUGGGCAUUUGAGGAUGGGGUGACUGCGUACCUUUUGUAUAAUGGGUCAGCGACUUAUAUUCUGUAGCAAGGUUAACCGCAUAAGGGAGCCGUAGGGAAACCGAGUCUUAACUGGGCGUUAAGUUGCAGGGUAUAGACCCGAAACCCGGUGAUCUAGCCAUGAGCAGGUUGAAGGUUGGGUAACACUAACUGGAGGACCGAACCGACUAAUGUUGAAAAAUUAGCGGAUGACUUGUGGUUAGGGGUGAAAGGCCAAUCAAACCGGGAGAUAGCUGGUUCUCCCCGAAAGCUAUUUAGGUAGCGCCUCGUGAAUUCAUCUUUGGGGGUAGAGCACUGUUUCGGCUAAGGGGUCAUCCUGACUUACUAAUCCGAUGCAAACUACGAAUACCGAAGAAUGUUAUCACGGGAGACACACGGCGGGUGCUAACGUCCGUCGUGAAGAGGGAAACAACCCAGACCGCCAGCUAAGGUCCCAAAGUCAUAGUUAAGUGGGAAACGAAGUGGGAAGGCUUAGACAGCCAGGAUGUUGGCUUAGAAGCAGCCAUCAUUUAAAGAAAGCGUAAUAGCUCACUGGUCGAGUCGUCCUGCGCGGAAGAUGUAACGGGGCUAAACUAUGCACCGAAGCUGCGGCAGCAACAGUAAUGUUGCUGGGUAGGGGAGCGUUCUGUAAGCUGUUGAAGGUGAACUGAGAAGUUUGCUGGAGGUAUCAGAAGUGCGAAUGCUGACAUAAGUAACGAUAAAGCGGGUGAAAAACCCGCUCGCCGAAAGACUAAGGGUUCCUACCCAACGGUAAUCGGGGUAGGGUAAGUCGACCUCUAAGGCGAGGCUGAGAAGCGUAGUCGAUGAGAAACUGGUUAAUAUUCCUGUACUAAUAGUUACUGCGAAGGGGGGACGAAGAAGGCUAGGCUAUCCGGGCGACGGUUGUCCCGGUUUAAGCGUAUAGGUGUGUAGUACAGGAAAAUCCGUAUUACUGUAACACUGAGGCGUGAUGACGAACUACUAAGGUGGUGAAGUAGCUAAUGCCAAGCUUCCAGGAAAAGCCUCUAAGCGAUAAGUAACGAUUAAUCGUACCCUAAACCGACACAGGUAGUUAGGUAGAGAAUACUAAGGCGCUUAAGAGAACUCGGGUGAAGGAACUAGGCAAAAUGGUGCCGUAACUUCGGGAGAAGGCACGCUGGAAUUAGGUGAAGUAGUUAACCUAUGGAGCCGAAGCCAGUCGCAGAUACCAGCUGGCUGCAACUGUUUAUUAAAAACACAGCACUGUGCAAACACGAAAGUGGACGUAUACGGUGUGACACCUGCCCGGUGCUGGAAGGUUAAUUGAUAGAGUAAGCCGUAAGGCAAAGCACUUGAUCGAAGCCCCAGUAAACGGCGGCCGUAACUAUAACGGUCCUAAGGUAGCGAAAUUCCUUGUCGGGUAAGUUCCGACCUGCACGAAUGGUGUAAUGAUGGCCAGGCUGUCUCCACCCGAGACUUAGUGAAAUUGAACUCGCUGUGAAGAUGCAGUGUACCCGCGACAAGACGGAAAGACCCCGUGAACCUUUACUAUAGCUUGAUACUGAACAUUGAGCCUUGAUGUGUAGGAUAGGUGGGAGGCUGUGAAAUGCGGAUGCCAAUCUGCAUGGAGCCAACGUUGAAAUACCACCCUUUAAUGUUUGAUGUUCUAACUUAGGUCCGUUAUCCGGACUGAGGACAGUGUCUGGUAGGUAGUUUGACUGGGGCGGUCUCCUCCUAAAAAGUAACGGAGGAGUACGAAGGUUGGCUAAUCACGGUCGGAAAUCGUGAAGUUAGUGCAAAGGCAUAAGCCAGCUUAACUGCGAGCGUGACGGCGCGAGCAGGUACGAAAGUAGGUCUUAGUGAUCCGGUGGUUCUGAAUGGAAGGGCCAUCGCUCAACGGAUAAAAGGUACUCCGGGGAUAACAGGCUGAUACCGCCCAAGAGUUCAUAUCGACGGCGGUGUUUGGCACCUCGAUGUCGGCUCAUCACAUCCUGGGGCUGAAGUAGGUCCCAAGGGUAUGGCUGUUCGCCAUUUAAAGUGGUACGCGAGCUGGGUUUAGAACGUCGUGAGACAGUUCGGUCCCUAUCUGUCGUGGGCGUAGGAAGAUUGAGAGGGGCUGCUCCUAGUACGAGAGGACCGGAGUGGACGCACCUCUGGUGUUCAGGUUGUCAUGCCAAUGGCAUUGCCUGGUAGCUAAGUGCGGAAGAGAUAACCGCUGAAAGUAUUUAAGCGGGAAACUUGCCUCAAGAUGAGUCUUCCCUGACAGUAAUGUCCUAUAAGGGGUGUUCAAGACGAGGACGUAGAUAGGCUGGGUGUGUAAGCGUAGCGAUACGUUAAGCUAACCAGUACUAAUGACCCGAGAGGCUUAACCCA
rnacentral:rRNA from 1 species